rnacentral:rRNA from 1 species
UAUGAAUGAAUUUUCUAAAAAUUUUUUUUUGUUUUUUCUUAACUUAUAUUUUUGUUGAAAAUAACAAUAUAGUUUUCUAAGACUAAAAGACCCUAAAAUUUUUAUAAUUUAAAUUAUUUGGUUGGGGAAAUAGUUGAUUUUUAAAUAUUUGGAUAUUUUUUUAUAAAAGAACUUUUAUUAAAGAGAGUUUGUUAAAAUACUCUAGGG